GGAUCAAGGCAGUGGAUUGUGAAUCCACCAUGCGCG
rnacentral:tRNA from 2 species